CACACGACCGUACCGCAAACCGACACUGGUGCGCGAGAUGAGUAUUCUAAGGCGCUUGAGAGAACUCAGGAGAAGGAACUCGGCAAAUUGACACCGUAACUUCGGAAGAAGGUGUGCCUUUAGUAGGUGAACCAUUUACUUGGGGAGCCCAAUGAGGCUGCAAAAAAUCGGUGGCUGCAACUGUUUAUUAAAAACACAGCACUCUGCUAAGACGAAAGUCGACGUAUAGGGUGUGACGCCUGCCCGGUGCUGGAAGAUUAAAUGAUGGGGUGCAAGCUCUUGAUUGAAGUCCCAGUAAACGGCGGCCGUAACGAUAACGGUCCUAAGGUAGCGAAAUUCCUUGUCGGGUAAGUUCCGACCUGCACGAAUGGCGUAAUGAUGGCCACACUGUCUCCUCCUGAGACUCAGCGAAGUUGAAAUGUUUGUGAUGAUGCAAUCUCCCCGCGGAAAGACGGAAAGACCCCAUGAACCUUUACUGUAGCUUUGUAUUGGACUUUGAACAGAUCUGUGUAGGAUAGGUGGGAGGCUUUGAAGUGUGGUCGCUAGAUCGCAUGGAGCCAACGUUGAAAUACCACCCUGGUGUGUUUGAGGUUCUAACCUAGGUCCAUUAUCUGGAUCGGGGACAGUGCAUGGUAGGCAGUUUGACUGGGGCGGUCUCCUCCCAAAGUGUAACGGAGGAGUUCGAAGGUACGCUAGGUACGGUCGGACAUCGUGCUAAUAGUGCAAUGGCAUAAGCGUGCUUAACUGCGAGACUGACAAGUCGAGCAGAUGCGAAAGCAGGACAUAGUGAUCCGGUGGUUCUGUAUGGAAGGGCCAUCGCUCAACGGAUAAAAGGUACUCUGGGGAUAACAGGCUGAUACCGCCCAAGAGUUCAUAUCGACGGCGGUGUUUGGCACCUCGAUGUCGGCUCAUCUCAUCCUGGGGCUGUAGCCGGUCCCAAGGGUAUGGCUGUUCGCCAUUUAAAGAGGUACGUGAGCUGGGUUUAAAACGUCGUGAGACAGUUUGGUCCCUAUCUUCCGUGGGCGCUGCAGAUUUGAGGAAGCCUGCUCCUAGUACGAGAGGACCGGAGUGGACGAACCUCUGGUGUAUCGGUUGUCACGCCAGUGGCAUUGCCGAGUAGCUAAGUUCGGAAGAGAUAACCGCUGAAAGCAUCUAAGCGGGAAACUCGUUUCAAGAUUAGAUCUGCCGGGGCCUUGAGCCCCCUAAAGAGUCGUUCAAGACCAGGACGUUGAUAGGUCAGGUGUGGAAGCCA
rnacentral:rRNA from 1 species